GGGAUAAGCCUGGGAAACUGGGUCUAAUACCGGAUAUGACUCCYCAUCGCAUGGUGGGGGGUGGAAAGCUUUUUGUGGUUUUGGAUGGACUCGCGGCCUAUCAGCUUGUUGGUGAGGUAAUGGCUUACCAAGGCGACGACGGGUAGCCGGCCUGAGAGGGUGACCGGCCACACUGGGACUGAGACACGGCCCAGACUCCUACGGGAGGCAGCAGUGGGGAAUAUUGCACAAUGGGCGGAAGCCUGAUGCAGCGACGCCGCGUGAGGGAUGACGGCCUUCGGGUUGUAAACCUCUUUCAGUAGGGAAGAAGCGUAAGUGACGGUACCUGCAGAAGAAGCGCCGGCUAACUACGUGCCAGCAGCCGCGGUAAUACGUAGGGCGCAAGCGUUAUCCGGAAUUAUUGGGCGUAAAGAGCUCGUAGGCGGUUUGUCGCGUCUGCCGUGAAAGUCCGGGGCUCAACUCCGGAUCUGCGGUGGGUACGGGCAGACUAGAGUGAUGUAGGGGAGACUGGAAUUCCUGGUGUAGCGGUGAAAUGCGCAGAUAUCAGGAGGAACACCGAUGGCGAAGGCAGGUCUCUGGGCAUUAACUGACGCUGAGGAGCGAAAGCAUGGGGAGCGAACAGGAUUAGA
rnacentral:rRNA from 1 species